rnacentral:rRNA from 1 species
AGAGUUUGAUCCUGGCUCAGAACGAACGCUGGCGGCGUGGAUUAGGCAUGCAAGUCGAACGGAGUUUCUAGCUUUUUCGGAGACUUAGUGGCGAAAGGGUGAGUAACACGUGAGUAACCUGCCCUUGGGAUCGGGAUAACCUAUCGAAAGAUGGGCUAAUACCGGAUACGUCCCUGCAGCGUAUGCUGUGGGGGGAAAGAUGGGGAUCCGAAAGGACCUAUCACCCUUGGAUGGGCUCGCGGCCUAUCAGCUAGUUGGUGAGGUAAUGGCUCACCAAGGCUAAGACGGGUAGCUGGUCUGAGAGGAUGGUCAGCCACACUGGGACUGAGACACUGCCCAGACACCUACGGGUGGCUGCAGUCGAGAAUCUUUCGCAAUGGGGGAAACCCUGACGAAGCGACGCCGCGUGCAGGAUGAAGGCCUUCGGGUUGUAAACUGCUGUCAGCUGGGGAGAAAAAGUCUGUCACGAAUAAUGGCAGACUCUGACGUACCAGCAGAGAAGCCACGCUAACU